AGACUCGCCAGCAGAAGACGGUGCUCCUAUGUUGCUUCUGCGAAGUGAACAAACCAACUAGCAGAAGAGUUCAAACCCCUGAUGAAAGGGAUUAUGAUUUUUGUGCAUGAUGAUAAGACCAGAAGCCAGACUGACAUCUGCAAAGCCCUACCAACAAAGCUUGUUGCCUUGCCUUCAGAGGUGCACAGCAACCCUCUGGUGAGUGAACUGAACCCCUGUCCAGAGGCAGAAGCACAGGGAAAUUCAAGCAACCAGC
ensembl:lncRNA